rnacentral:rRNA from 1 species
UACAGAGGGGCAAGCGUUGUUCGGAAUUACUGGGCGUAAAGGGCGCGUAGGCGGCCUGUUAAGUCGAACGUGAAAUCCCCGGGCUCAACCCGGGAACUGCGUCCGAUACUGGCAGGCUUGAAUCCGGGAGAGGGAUGCGGAAUUCCAGGUGUAGCGGUGAAAUGCGUAGAUAUCUGGAGGAACACCGGUGGCGGAAGGCGGCAUCCUGGACCGGCAUUGACGCUGAGGCGCGAAAGCCAGGGGAGCAAACGGG